ACAACCCAGACCGCCAGCUAAGGUCCCAAAGUCAUGGUUAAGUGGGAAACGAAGUGGGAAGGCUCAGACAGCCAGGAUGUUGGCUUAGAAGCAGCCAUCAUUUAAAGAAAGCGUAAUAGCUCACUGGUCGAGUCGGCCCGCGCGGAAGAUGUAACGGGGCUAAACCAUGCACCGAAGCUGCGGCAGCGACACAAAGUGUUGUUGGGUAGGGGAGCGUUCUGUAAGCCUGCGAAGGUGUACUGUGAGGUAUGCUGGAGGUAUCAGAAGUGCGAAUGCUGACAUAAGUAACGAUAAUGCGGGUGAAAAACCCGCACGCCGGAAGACCAAGGGUUCCUGUCCAACGUUAAUCGGGGCAGGGUGAGUCGACCCCUAAGGCGAGGCUGAAAAGC
rnacentral:rRNA from 1 species